rnacentral:rRNA from 1 species
GAUGAACGCUGGCGGCGUGCCUAACACAUGCAAGUCGAGCGUGAAUCUUUCGAGUGGAGACUUCGGUUGAAGCGAGAAAGAGGAAAGCGGCGGACGGGUGAGUAACGCGUGGGCAACCUGCCCCAUACAGCCGGAUAGCCACUGGAAACGGUGAUUAAUACGGCAUAAGACCACGAUACCGCAUGGUGACGAGGUCAAAGAUUUAUCGGUAUGGGAUGGGCCCGCGUCUGAUUAGCUAGUUGGUGAGGUAACGGCUCACCAAGGCGACGAUCAGUAACCGACCUGAGAGGGCGGACGGUCACACUGGAACUGAGACACGGUCCAGACUCCUACGGGUGGCAG